rnacentral:lncRNA from 1 species
CUGCCUUUCUUCGGUUUGGCGGCACUAUGGGCUGCCGAAGGCAUCUCCUCGCCGGAUGGAGGAGCAUCCCCCAAGUUACAUCCCGACAAAUCGGGAUGAUAUUCGUCGGAUAGAUCGGGACACCAAUUUAGGUCAUAGUAAGCUGGGUUGUGUGGAUCCAUGGAAGGUGUAGAGAGAUGAUGAAAAAAGAAGUGAGGAAGAUGAAGAAAAUGGUGGAAGAAAGAAAGUGAGGAAGAAGAAGAAGAAAAAGAGAA